UUGCAUUGAAUGAACAAAUGAUUAGCAUAAUAGCAAAGCUACUUAAAAUCAGAGAAAUUAGAAAAAAAAAAAAAAAUCAGCACAGUUGAGUCUGGGCAUUGCAUGUUGGAUGAUCAAAACAGAGGUCUCGAGUGAGAAUUUAGAUCCUGAAAUACGCAGGCCUGCAGCAAGUCAUUCGAAGAAGUGUGCAAAACUCCCAUCAUUCAGCUUCAUUUCUGCUUCCCGCUCAGCAAGAUUACUCUGUAUCUUGUUUUCUGAACUGCGACAGACAGGAAACUUAUCCCGGUGAGUUUUUAUUCCGGGAUGUCAAGGGCACAACCUGCGUAGCUUAAUGAAUCUCCAUCAUCUUCGCCGCAGGUGUAAGUUAUGAAGAUAACUGCUAGAUGGAGGAUUUUCACACUAUUGAUUUAGCAUUUGUUUCAAGCCAGAUUCAUCAUUAAAUCACAGAUUUGCUUUACAAGCAAUAACUAGGGGGAUUUCAUAUUACUGAAUCGCUUAUUUUUGGAGACAGAAGAAGAGUGCUCACAUUUUGUUUUUACUGCACAAACACUUGAUAAAGAAUCUGAGUGAGAAGUUCCUCUCGCCAAGAACAUUUGCACCCAGAAAUUUCCUUAAAUAAAUAAGGUUUUAACAAGGUGAAUGCUUUGCUUUUUCUUUUUUUGUGAAGAACUUCAGAGUAAACAAAGGUAAGACUAUUGGGUUUUGAUGUUUACCUUGUGUGGGAGAAAUAUGAUGUUUAUCCAGAACUUCAGAGUAAACAAAAUGUAUUCUUAAUGUAUUCUUUUUUAGGAUCCGGCCCACCCAAAUGUAAAAAGUCUUGCAAUUAUUAUAAAUAACAGCAACACUCGAGAAUUAAAUAAUAAACUGAUUUUAUAAAUCAUAUUGUAACGUUAUAGGAGAAUAUCAAAUAAAUAAAUUAUUAAAUUUCUAGAAAUUUUAAAGAAAAAAUUAUAAUUUAAUCAUUAAUUGAUGUUUUUAUUUUUAAAAAGAUAUAUUAAAACAUUAUUAAAAUUUUAAAAUAUUAAAAAUUAAUUUAUUU
rnacentral:lncRNA from 1 species